UGACUGUGAUGGUACAGAUCUCUGUGAUGUGAAGCUUCAGAUUGAGCCCUUGAGAUUUCCGAUUCAGAUUAAGCCUGGCAAAUCUCUGGUGCUGAAGUUGGAUGUAUCAGAUGCUGUGGAGGUGUAUUAUAACAGUACAGGUGCAACUGGACCAUCCAGUGGUCACAUCUGUACAGUGGAUGGACGCUCACUACAUUGUAAACAUGACUAUAAACAGAGAGCAUCACUAACCUGUGCUCUUGAGCUGAGAGGAAUGAAGACAUCUGACAGUGGAGUUUAUACUACAAAAGCCAAAAGAACUGAAGAGGUCAUUCACAUCUACACAGUGACCGUGGGGUCAGCAGGUGGAGGUAAAAUAAAGGAUGACCAUCCAGAUCUCUGCACAGAUGAAGGAGCUGCUGUUCCAGUGUGGGUUUUUGCACUGAUGAUGGCUGCACUUUUAACUGUGAUUGUGGGAUUAGCAGUGGUGAUUGUGCUGCUGAGAAGACAACAGCAGCACUGGAUAAGGACUGAAAGGAAGGCCUCAAACUCUGGCCUCAAACUCUGAGCCCAUGGGGGGGGGGGCCCAGAAGCUGGGCCCAGUACAGCUGAGCGGAGUGCUGCAGAUCCCAGGGCAGGCAGUGUGGCCGACACAGACCCUAAUACACAGACACAGGAUGGGGAGGGAGGUAGAGCAGCUGAACCUGCUGUUAGACCCAAUAGUGAGACAGAUGUGGGACUGGAGUGUUCAGAGCCUCAAAGGAGUAAACGUAAUACUAAUGCUCAUGUAGGGGUUGGUGCGGCAGCUAUUGCUGCUAUGGGAUCUGUUUUAGGAGAAUAGAGUAUGGACACAGAAGCUGUGGCUGAGGAGACUGUUUUUAAAGCUCCCUCUGGGAAAAGAAAAAUGAAGUGGGCUAAGACUGGUGACAGUAAAGGGGAGGCACAGCGAGUGGCAGGAGUGCGGAGCGAGAAACAAGGAGAGGAUACUGGUUUCUGUGCAUUGGAUGAUUCUGAAGGAGUGCAUAUACUUGGUUGAAGAUCAGUUUUCUGAUCGCAAGCUGUUUAUUGAGUCAGGUCAAGCAAUUAUGAGGAAUGAAUUAAUGCAUCACGGACUACAUUAACUUCUGUGUGGAUGCCACUGUCCCAACCAGAACUGUUAAAUGUUACCCAAACAACAAGCUGUGGGUAACAAAGGACGUUAAAGCUCUCCUUAACAACAAAAAGAGGGCCUUCAGAGCUGGAGACAGGGAGGAGGCGAGAACGAUCCAGAGGGAACGGAAGACAACUAUCAGGGAGGCUAAGAACAAAUAUAGGAGGAAAAUAUAGUGGAAACUCCAGCAGAACAACAUGAGGGGGGUCUGGAGUGGAAUGAAGACCAUCACCAGCCUCAGGUCCAGCAACAACAGAGGAUUAGAGGGCAGCGUGGACGGGGCCAACAAGCUAAAUUUGUUCUUUAACAGAUUUAACACUGCAGGCUCUGUCCUCCCCCGUCCUGACUCCCCUGCUGCCGGUCCUCAGCAGCCCACUCCACUCCCCCUCCCUCCCCCUCCUGAUAGCCUGCCCCCCUCCUGUGACAGCCCACCUCACACCCUCACCCCUCCCCCACACAUCACCUCUAC